rnacentral:rRNA from 1 species
CCCUUAGAUGUCCUGGGCUGCACGCGCGCUACACUGAUGUGUCCAGUAAGCACCUAACCUCUUCCGAAGGGAACGGGUAACCUUAGCAAAGCACAUCGUGAUGGGGAUAGAUUAUUGCAAUUAUUAGUCUUGAACGAGGAAUUCCUAGUAAGCACAAGUCAUCAGCUUGUGUUGAUUACGUCCCUGCCCUUUGUACACACCGCCCGUCGCUCCUACCGAUUGAGUGGUCCGGUGAGGCUUUGGGAUCUGAGCAAAAAGAGCGUUUCGCUCGUUUGGCUCGGAAAACUCAGUCGAACCUUACCAUUUAGAGGAAGGAGAAGUCGUAACA